CUGGAGUGAGGUUCAAUGUAAGGACAAGAUCUGCACCCGGAGAAGCUCUCUCUCGGAGAGCACAGGCGGCCUGAGGAGUCAAAACAGGUGGCCUGUGGAGUCAGCACAGGCAGCCUGGAGGAGGUGAGGAACUGAAGUUUGGACAGAUUGAGUCACUUUCUCAGGGACACAUGGCUGGCCGGUGAUGGAGAAGGAGCAGAGGCAUCGCUGGGCUGGAGGUGGGAAGGAUGGACCUGGG
rnacentral:lncRNA from 1 species